rnacentral:rRNA from 1 species
UAGGGAAUCUUCCGCAAUGGACGCAAGUCUGACGGAGCAACGCCGCGUGAGUGAAGAAGGUUUUCGGAUCGUAAAGCUCUGUUGCCAGGGAAGAAAGGUUUGGAGAGGAAAUGCUCUGGACGUGACGGUACCUGAGAAGAAAGCCCCGGCUAACUACGUGCCAGCAGCCGCGGUAAUACGUAGGGGGCAAGCGUUGUCCGGAAUUAUUGGGCGUAAAGCGCGCGCAGGCGGUCGACUUAGUCGGGUGGUUAAGCCCGGGGCUCAACCCCGGGUCACACCGGAAACGGGUCGACUUGAGUGCAGAAGAGGAGAGUGGAAUUCCACGUGUAGCGGUGAAAUGCGUAGAGAUGUGGAGGAACACCAGUGGCGAAGGCGACUCUCUGGACUGUAACUGACGCUGAGGCGCGAAAGCGUGGGGAGCAAACA